rnacentral:rRNA from 1 species
UAAUACGAAGGGGGCUAGCGUUGCUCGGAUUUACUGGGCGUAAAGGGCGCGUAGGCGGACGAUCAAGUUGGGGGUGAAAUCCCGGGGCUUAACCUCGGAACUGCCUCCAAAACUGAUCAUCUAGAGUUUGGGAGAGGUGUGUGGAACUCCGAGUGUAGAGGUGAAAUUCGUAGAUAUUCGGAAGAACACCAGUGGCGAAGGCGACACACUGGCCCAAUACUGACGCUGAGGCGCGAAAGCGUGGGGAGCAAACAGGAUUAGAUACCCUGGUAGUCCACGCCGUAAACGAUGAGUGCUAGUUGUCGGCAUGCAUGCAUGUCGGUGACGCAGCUAACGCAUUAAGCACUCCGCCUGGGGAGUACGGUCGCAAGAUUA